GGCCGCCGCUCACGCUCGCAUCGAAGCAGGAGGCCGCGCUCGAUCCCCUUUUCCCUCUCUUCGAUCUCCCUUGCAGCGCCCCAGUCCGCUUGAUCCCCUGUCUCUCCUGCCGUUUCCCUCGACCCUCUCCCUCUGGUUCUCCUAGCGCACGCAGAGGGGCCACGCAUCGUGCCAGAUCCAUGGUCUUCCCUUCCUCUCGUUCCGGUUCUCCUCGCUGCACCUUCCCGAGCUGGAGCCUCCACCUCCGUCCCAUUGUCACUGCGGCCCCGUUGCUUCCCUGCCUCUCUAUUGCGCCAGGGACUCGAGCCCUCCACCAGCAGGACCUUCCAUGGACGCCCAGGUGCACUGCUCCAACCCAUGCCUCAGGCGGCCUUGCCAUUGUCGUCGCCUAGCCAGGAGUCCACCUGAUCUGGACGCCCACAGACCUCCGGCCAUCUUCGGUUGCGGCCUGCUGGCCUCGUCGCUCCUCUUGUCACUGCCAAGACGCGGCAGCCAGGGAAGCCCAAGACCGCCUUCGUGGUUUUCGCCAAGUUCGUCCACCGCCAAACGAGUCGGAGAUCCAUCGAUGCAUCUCCGUGUGGAACCUGACAAGUACAACUGGUUGCCCCAAGCAACACACCGCAAGCGCCAAGUACCUCUACCGACGGCCCAGAACAUCUACGGAAUGCGUACCACUACACGGGAUUCCUCGGAUGCGUCAAGUUCCUCGCCGUGACCCCAAACAUCUACGGAAACUCAUGCAAUUAUGAACGCAAAAGACUACCGUCGACCCCAAGUUACUUGGAUUCGCCAAGUUCCUCUUUGAAACAUGUACCACUACCGUCGCCAAUAUCGCGAGUACCUCUAUCGUCGUCAUGUACCCCUACUUCCACUACUGUCGCAAGAACAACUACUUCCUCUACGAA